ensembl:lncRNA
GUAUGGUUACAGAAAUGAGUUACGUAUGGUUACAGAAAUGAGUUACGUAUGGUUACAGAAAUGAGUUACGUAUGGUUACAGAAAUGAGUUACGUUGGUUACAGAAAUGAGUUACGUAUGGUUACAGAAAUGAUUACGUAUGGUUACAGAAAUUAGUUACGUAUGGUUACAGAAAUUAGUUACGUAUGGUUACAGAAAUGCAGCACUAAAAAAGUAUUUUAAGUAUUCCAUUCAAGUGUUAUUUGUUUUGGCAAAGACAAAAAUCUGUUUUUUCAUUUCAUGCUUAUUUGACACCCAUGAUAUGGAUCUGUCAGCAAUAUGAAACAUGAAUAACUGUUAUUCAUUUAACUCUUAAUACUAAUAUAGCAUGGAUGGACCCUGUCAGUUUAAAUAUACAGUACACUUCCAUAAGUCAGGAUGUUGAUGUUGUCAGAGUGAAGGGUUAUCUUUAAUUUGUCCUGUGACACUGAGUAAUCGCGUGUGGUCGGUGGGCAGGGAAAAUCUGAGAAAAUGAUUUUCCACAGCCUCCUGACUAUAAGUCUGUUGUGAUCACAUGUCAGCUGUCUCAGCUAAUUGCCCAGAGCCAGCCCAGCGACUGUAUUGAAGCUGGAAAAAAUGUGCCCUGUCACCGUUGACCCCACUCUAUAGAUGGCUCUAUUUCUCAAAGUUGUCUCUUAAAAAGGUCAUCUGGAUGGCUCUAAGAAUAAGUGUGAGUUUGACCCAGAACUCCCACCAGUGGAUUGGAGUCAGUGGAUGCUCUGAUGCAUGGCAAAUUGGCCUGAAUGUGUCCCCUUGUUAGGGAAGUAAUCUCAUCACCAAGGAACAACUGUUCUGUGAUGACUUUUAGCAUCAGCAUGGCGCACUAUGGACAAAUGUCUGGAGGCUAGCACAGCAUGAUCUUCAAUUGAGCAUUGCACAAUAAUUAUGAGAAGAACUCAAUGUUAUUACUACAUACAGGGUUAUAAAUAGACCACAGGAAGAGUAGCUGCUGCUUCAGCAACAGCUAAUGGGGAUCCUAAUAAAAUACUAAAUACUUAAAGCAGUCUUCAAAGGGAAUGUUUUAUGUGAGUUGAUAUUUUCAAAGAGGACUAUUGGGUAGAGGGAAGACCAGACAAUAGC